rnacentral:rRNA from 1 species
AGGGCGCACGGUGGAUGCCUUGGCACUAGAAGCCGAUGAAGGACGUUACUAACGACGAUAUGCUUUGGGGAGCUGUAAGUAAGCUUUGAUCCAGAGAUUUCCGAAUGGGGAAACCCAGCAUGAGUUAUGUCAUGUUAUCGAUAUGUGAAUACAUAGCAUAUCAGAAGGCACACCCGGAGAACUGAAACAUCUUAGUACCCGGAGGAAGAGAAAGAAAAUUCGAUUCCCUUAGUAGCGGCGAGCGAAACGGGAAGAGCCCAAACCAACAAGCUUGCUUGUUGGGGUUGUAGGACACUCUAUACGGAGUUACAAAGGACGACAUUAGACGAAUCAUCUGGAAAGAUGAAUCAAAGAAGGUAAUAAUCCUGUAGUCGAAAAUGUUGUCUCUCUUGAGUGGAUCCUGAGUACGACGGAGCACGUGAAAUUCCGUCGGAAUCUGGGAGGACCAUCUCCUAAGGCUAAAUACUCUCUAGUGACCGAUAGUGAACCAGUACCGUGAGGGAAAGGUGAAAAGCACCCCGGAAGGGGAGUGAAAUAGAACCUGAAACCGUGUGCUUACAAGUAGUCAGAGCCCGUUAAUGGGUGAUGGCGUGCCUUUUGUAGAAUGAACCGGCGAGUUACGAUUUGAUGCAAGGUUAAGCAGUAAAUGUGGAGCCGUAGCGAAAGCGAGUCUGAAUAGGGCGUUUAGUAUUUGGUCGUAGACCCGAAACCAGGUGAUCUACCCUUGGUCAGGUUGAAGUUCAGGUAACACUGAAUGGAGGACCGAACCGACUUACGUUGAAAAGUGAGCGGAUGAACUGAGGGUAGCGGAGAAAUUCCAAUCGAACCUGGAGAUAGCUGGUUCUCUCCGAAAUAGCUUUAGGGCUAGCCUCAAGUGAUGAUUAUUGGAGGUAGAGCACUGUUUGGACGAGGGGCCCCUCUCGGGUUACCGAAUUCAGACAAACUCCGAAUGCCAAUUAAUUUAACUUGGGAGUCAGAACAUGGGUGAUAAGGUCCGUGUUCGAAAGGGAAACAGCCCAGACCACCAGCUAAGGUCCCAAAAUAUAUGUUAAGUGGAAAAGGAUGUGGCGUUGCCCAGACAACUAGGAUGUUGGCUUAGAAGCAGCCAUCAUUUAAAGAGUGCGUAAUAGCUCACUAGUCGAGUGACACUGCGCCGAAAAUGUACCGGGGCUAAACAUAUUACCGAAGCUGUGGAUUGUCCUUUGGACAAUGGUAGGAGAGCGUUCUAAGGGCGUUGAAGCAUGAUCGUAAGGACAUGUGGAGCGCUUAGAAGUGAGAAUGCCGGUGUGAGUAGCGAAAGACGGGUGAGAAUCCCGUCCACCGAUUGACUAAGGUUUCCAGAGGAAGGCUCGUCCGCUCUGGGUUAGUCGGGUCCUAAGCUGAGGCCGACAGGCGUAGGCGAUGGAUAACAGGUUGAUAUUCCUGUACCACCUAUAAUCGUUUUAAUCGAUGGGGGGACGCAGUAGGAUAGGCGAAGCGUGCGAUUGGAUUGCACGUCUAAGCAGUAAGGCUGAGUAUUAGGCAAAUCCGGUACUCGUUAAGGCUGAGCUGUGAUGGGGAGAAGACAUUGUGUCUUCGAGUCGUUGAUUUCACACUGCCGAGAAAAGCCUCUAGAUAGAAAAUAGGUGCCCGUACCGCAAACCGACACAGGUAGUCAAGAUGAGAAUUCUAAGGUGAGCGAGCGAACUCUCGUUAAGGAACUCGGCAAAAUGACCCCGUAACUUCGGGAGAAGGGGUGCUCUUUAGGGUUAACGCCCAGAAGAGCCGCAGUGAAUAGGCCCAAGCGACUGUUUAUCAAAAACACAGGUCUCUGCUAAACCGUAAGGUGAUGUAUAGGGGCUGACGCCUGCCCGGUGCUGGAAGGUUAAGAGGAGUGGUUAGCUUCUGCGAAGCUACGAAUCGAAGCCCCAGUAAACGGCGGCCGUAACUAUAACGGUCCUAAGGUAGCGAAAUUCCUUGUCGGGUAAGUUCCGACCCGCACGAAAGGCGUAACGAUUUGGGCACUGUCUCAACGAGAGACUCGGUGAAAUCAUAGUACCUGUGAAGAUGCAGGUUACCCGCGACAGGACGGAAAGACCCCGUGGAGCUUUACUGUAGCCUGAUAUUGAAAUUCGGCACAGCUUGUACAGGAUAGGUAGGAGCCUUUGAAACGUGAGCGCUAGCUUACGUGGAGGCGCUGGUGGGAUACUACCCUAGCUGUGUUGGCUUUCUAACCCGCACCACUUAUCGUGGUGGGAGACAGUGUCAGGCGGGCAGUUUGACUGGGGCGGUCGCCUCCUAAAAGGUAACGGAGGCGCUCAAAGGUUCCCUCAGAAUGGGUGGAAAUCAUUCAUAGAGUGUAAAGGCAUAAGGGAGCUUGACUGCGAGACCUACAAGUCGAGCAGGGUCGAAAGACG